rnacentral:rRNA from 1 species
CAAUAGCGUAUAUUAAAGUUGUUGCAGUUAAAAAGCUCGUAGUUGGAUUUCUGGUGGGAGCGAUCGGUCUGGCGCUUAGCGCGAGUACUUGCAUCGUCUCCGGCCAUCCUUGGGGAGAGUCUGUCUGGCAUUAGGUUGUCGGGCAGAGGAUCCUCAUCGUUUACUGUGAAGAAAUUAGAGUGUUCAAAGCAGGCUUAUGCCGUUGAAUAUAUUAGCAUGGAAUAAUAAGAUAGGACUUUGGUACUAUUUUGUUGGUUUGCGCACCAAAGUAAUGAUUAAUAGGGACAGUUGGGGGUAUUCGUAUUCCGUUGUCAGAGGUGAAAUUCUUGGAUUUACGGAAGACGAACUACUGCGAAAGCAUUUACCAAGGAUGUUUNCAUUAA